CGCGAAUUCGAGCCAAGUCUCUGCGUUCGGUUGCAGCGUUGAAAAGCUUGUCGAGUACCGCGAUCCUCCCAACGGGGUCCGCCAUGGCCCCAGCGCCAAGAG
rnacentral:misc_RNA from 1 species